UACGUAGGGUGCAAGCGUUGUCCGGAAUUAUUGGGCGUAAAGAGCUCGUAGGCGGUCUGUCGCGUCUGCUGUGAAACUCAGGGCUUAACCCUGAGCUUGCAGUGUGUACGGGCAGACUAGAGUGCGGUAGGGGAGACUGGAAUUCCUGGUGUAGCGGUGAAAUGCGCAGAUAUCAGGAGGAACACCGGUGGCGAAGGCGGGUCUCUGGGCCGUAACUGACGCUGAGGAGCGAAAGCAUGGGGAGCGAACAGG
rnacentral:rRNA from 1 species